GGAAUAUUGGACAAUGGGGGAAACCCUGAUCCAGCCAUGCCGCGUGUGUGAAGAAGGCCUUUUGGUUGUAAAGCACUUUAAGCAGUGAAGAAGACUCUUCGGUUAAUACCCGGAGACGAUGACAUUAGCUGCAGAAUAAGCACCGGCUAACUCUGUGCCAGCAGCCGCGGUAAUACAGAGGGUGCAAGCGUUAAUCGGAAUUACUGGGCGUAAAGCGAGCGUAGGUGGCUUGAUAAGUCAGAUGUGAAAUCCCCGGGCUUAACCUGGGAACUGCAUCUGAAACUGUUAGGCUAGAGUAGGUGAGGGGGAGGUAGAAUUUCAGGUGUAGCGGUGAAAUGCGUAGAGAUCUGAAGGAAUACCGAUGGCGAAGGCAGCCUCCUGGCAUCAUACUGACACUGAGGCUCGAAAGCGUGGGUAGCAAACUGGAUUAGAUACCCUGG
rnacentral:rRNA from 1 species